rnacentral:rRNA from 1 species
UCAGUGGCGAACGGGUGAGUAACACGUGAGCAACCUGCCCCUGACUCUGGGAUAAGCGCUGGAAACGGCGUCUAAUACUGGAUAUGUACCACGAUCGCAUGGUCUGUGGUUGGAAAGAUUUUUCGGUUGGGGAUGGGCUCGCGGCCUAUCAGCUUGUUGGUGAGGUAAUGGCUCACCAAGGCGUCGACGGGUAGCCGGCCUGAGAGGGUGACCGGCCACACUGGGACUGAGACACGGCCCAGACUCCUACGGGAGGCAGCAGUGGGGAAUAUUGCACAAUGGGCGCAAGCCUGAUGCAGCAACGCCGCGUGAGGGAUGACGGCCUUCGGGUUGUAAACCUCUUUUAGCAGGGAAGAAGCGAAAGUGACGGUACCUGCAGAAAAAGCGCCGGCUAACUACGUGCCAGCAGCCGCGGUAAUACGUAGGGCGCAAGCGUUAUCCGGAAUUAUUGGGCGUAAAGAGCUCGUAGGCGGUUUGUCGCGUCUGCUGUGAAAUCCCGAGGCUCAACCUCGGGCCUGCAGUGGGUACGGGCAGACUAGAGUGCGGUAGGGGAGAUUGGAAUUCCUGGUGUAGCGGUGGAAUGCGCAGAUAUCAGGAGGAACACCGAUGGCGAAGGCAGAUCUCUGGGCCGUAACUGACGC